CUUACAAGGUUGUUCCAACAAGUCCGAUAUAGUCAUGAUAUAACAAUAUUGUUACAACCUUAUGUGAUCAAACUUGUAACAUUCUUGUUAUAUGAUCAUGACUGUAUCAGACUUGUUAUGACAACCUUGUAAC